AUAAAAAGGAUCCGCUGUUUCCCCGGGGACCCUUUACGAUGACGGACCUUGGGACCGGAGACGGGAGAGCAGGCGGAGGUGGAGCCGAGAGCCUGACCAGCGUCUGCCAGACAACAUCACAAUUUAAUACGGUUGAAUCAUUUAAUACACACUACAUCAAUAAAUAGUAUAAAAUGUGCAAAUAGGCAAUGUUUAACUGUACUGUGCAACUCCCGCUAAUAAAGUGCAAACUGUUCA